rnacentral:rRNA from 2 species
GGCGUGCCUAACACAUGCAAGUUGAGCGAUUUACUUCGGUAAAGAGCGGCGGACGGGUGAGUAACGCGUGGGUAACCUACCCUGUACACACGGAUAACAUACCGAAAGGUAUGCUAAUACGGGAUAAUAUAUUUGAGAGGCAUCUCUUGAAUAUCAAAGGUGAGCCAGUACAGGAUGGACCCGCGUCUGAUUAGCUAGUUGGUAAGGUAACGGCUUACCAAGGCGACGAUCAGUAGCCGACCUGAGAGGGUGA